AACGAACGCUGGCGGCAGGCCUAACACAUGCAAGUCGAGCGCGCCCUUCGGGGUGAGCGGCGGACGGGUGAGUAACGCGUGGGAACGUGCCCUUCUCUGCGGAAUAGCCUCGGGAAACUGAGAGUAAUACCGCAUACGCCCUUUGGGGGAAAGAUUUAUCGGAGAAGGAUCGGCCCGCGUUGGAUUAGGUAGUUGGUGGGGUAAUGGCCCACCAAGCCGACGAUCCAUAGCUGGUUUGAGAGGAUGAUCAGCCACACUGGGACUGAGACACGGCCCUGACUCCUACGGGAGGCAGCAGUGGGGAAUCUUAGACAAUGGGGGCAACCCUGAUCUAGCCAUGCCGCGUGAGUGAUGAAGGCCUUAGGGUUGUAAAGCUCUUUCAGCUGGGAAGAUAAUGACGGUACCAGCAGAAGAAGCCCCGGCUAACUCCGUG
rnacentral:rRNA from 1 species